rnacentral:rRNA from 1 species
UACGAGUGCCCCAAGCGUUGUUCGGAUUCACUGGGCGUAAAGGGUGCGUAGGCGGUCGGGUAAGUCUGAUGUGAAAUCUCACAGCUUAACUGUGAAACUGCAUUGGAUACUAUCCGGCUAGAGGAAUGGAGGGGAGACUGGAAUACUUGGUGUAGCAGUGAAAUGCGUAGAUAUCAAGUGGAACACCAGUGGCGAAGGCGAGUCUCUGGACAUUUCCUGACGCUGAGGCACGAAAGCCAGGGGAGCAAACGGG